GAUAGUCUCCUGAGCUCUACCUCAUGUUGUCACGGAGACGUGUCCCUCACCUUUCAUCCUACUUGACUGGACUUUGCCAGCGCUUGUGACCUGACAGGUCUAGGUGGUUGUGGUCUAAUCCAGUACUGACGCCUGGACCGUCUGGAGAGGCCUGACUCAUGACAUAGCUAGCUGGCCACCAGUAGAUGAUGCAUUACGAAAACACUGCCGGAUACUCUAAGCAGGGUUGGCUGGAGACCAGGGAGAGGUAGGAGAGUGGACUCCUCAUUGACAGAUUUUUCUAAUCCUCAUAUUAGAAAGGAAAGCAGUAGAAGAUGACCCAUAUCCGUGGGCCCCUGCACCCAGGUGGGAAGACCCAGAGGAAGCUCCUGGCUCCUGGCUUUGGAUCAGUGCAGCUCCGUCUUUUGCAGCCUGUUGGGGAGCGCACCACCGAAUGGAAGACCUCUCGUUCUCUCUGCCUCUCCUCUCUCUGUAUAACUCUGACUUUGAAAUAAAUAAAAAUAAAUCUUAAA